UACGAAGGGUGCAAGCGUUGCUCGGAAUUAUUGGGCGUAAAGGGUAGGUAGGUGGUCUUGUUUGUCUGAAGUGAAAUCCCUGGGCUUAACCCAGGAAGUGCUUUGGAAACGGCAAGACUAGAGUUCUGGAGAGGGUUGUGGAAUUCCCGGUGUAGCGGUGAAAUGCGUAGAGAUCGGGAGGAACACCAGAGGCGAAGGCGACAACCUGGACAGAUACUGACACUAAACUACGAAAGCGUGGGGAGCAAACAGG
rnacentral:rRNA from 1 species